CCUACGGGAGGCAGCAGUGGGGAAUAUUGCACAAUGGGGGAAACCCUGAUGCAGCAACGCCGCGUGAAGGAAGACGGUUUUCGGAUUGUAAACUUCUGUUCUUAGUGAAGAAUAAUGACGGUAGCUAAGGAGCAAGCCACGGCUAACUACGUGCCAGCAGCCGCGGUAAUACGUAGGUGGCAAGCGUUGUCCGGAAUUACUGGGUGUAAAGGGAGCGCAGGCGGGAAGCCAAGUCAGCUGUGAAAACUACGGGCUUAACUUGUAGACUGCAGUUGAAACUGGUUUUCUUGAGUGAAGUAGAGGUUGGCGGAAUUCCGAGUGUAGCGGUGAAAUGCGUAGAUAUCGCGCAGAACCCCGAUUGCGAAGGCAGCGUGCCGUGCCGCCACUGACGCUGAGGCACGACAGCGCGGGGAUCGAACAGGAUUAGAUACCCCGGUAAGUC
rnacentral:rRNA from 1 species